GGCCCUACGGGGCGCAGCAGUCGCGAAAACUUUGCAAUACACGAAAGUGUGACAGGGCUAUCCCGAGUGCCAUCCGCUGAGGAAGGCUUUUACCCAGUCUAGAAAGCUGGGGGAAUAAGGAGAGGGCAAGUCUGGUGUCAGCCGCCGCGGUAAUACCAGCUCUCCGAGUGGUGUGGAUGUUUAUUGGGCCUAAAGCAUCCGUAGCUGGCUAAGUUAGUCCCCUGUUAAAUCCAACGAAUUAAUCGUUGGAUCGCGGGGGAUACUGCUUGGCUAGGGGACGAGAGAGGCAGACGGUAUUUCCGGGGUAGGGGUGAAAUCCUAUAAUCCCGGGAAGACCACCAGUGGCGAAGGCUGUCUGCUAGAACGCGCCCGACGGUGAGGGAUGAAAGCUGGGGGAGCGAACCGGAUUAGAUACCCGGGUAGUCCCAGCUGUAAACGAUGCAGGCUAGGUGUUUGGACGGCCACGUGCCGUUCUAGUGCCGCAGGGAAGCUGUUAAGCCUGCCGCCUGGGGAGUACGAUCGCAAGAUUGAAACUUAAAGGAAUUGGCGGGGGAGCACCACAAGGGGUGAAGCUUGCGGUUUAAUUGGAGUCAACGCCGGAAAUCUCAC
rnacentral:rRNA from 1 species